AGUCUUAUGCAAAUAUCUUCAGAUGGACCAAAUGUCAACAUAAAGUUUCUUAUUUUAUUUUCUGAAAAACGUGAUGAUGAACUAGCAGGUCUAGUGAAUAUCGGAACAUGUGGCCUGCAUACUGUGCAUGGAAGCUUGAAAAAUGGCAUCAAGAAGUCUGGUUGGGAAAUGGGAAAGGUGCUGAAAGCUAUGUCAAAGUUGUUAGAUGAAUCACCUGCCAGAAGGGAUCUGUUGACAGAAAAGUUGACAGAAAAAAACAUUUAUCCACUGCCUUAUUGUGGUCACAGGUGGUGUGAAGAUGAAAACUGUGCAAAUCGAGCAGACACCAUAUGGCCUGAAUUUGUGAAGUUCAUCAAACAUCUAAAUGGUCUUAUAAAGUCCAGACAGCCACAGAGGAAAUCAUUUGCAGCUCUUCAAAAAGCAGUUAAAGAUCUCUUGAUGCCUACAAAACUCCAGUUGGUAGAGUUCAUCGCUUCAAAGCUUAACACAUUUCUGAGAGGUUUUCAAACGGAUCAACCAAUGGUUCCAUUCCUAUGUGAUGUCCUUAAGGAGCUUCUUACUUAAAUUAUGAAAAUGUUUAUUCUAACAGGAUAGAUCGAGACAGAUCUACAGUACGUCUACAACAACAUCUACUUCUACAUUGACUUGUGUAAAAGUUACUGUACUGGACUGAUACCAUCAAAAAGGCUGAUACAACAAUGAAACUUUUAAAGAUCGAUGUCUCGGAUAAGAACAUACAUAAGCCCUCUGAAACGAUUGAUGUUGGUAUGGGUGCACAACUUCACAUCUCACAAUUUUGGAGAAGCAGUGAUUUUAAAGGAAGUUCCCUUCGAAACUUUCAUCAAGAAACUGUUCUGCUCUUAUCCAGUGUGACCAGUCACAUGGUAGAGAAAUGCCCCCUGAGACACAUGAUCAUUCGAUGCUGCAGUUCAAUCAAUCUCAACAGGCUGGCCAUUAGGGAUGAAAGAGAAGUUUCAAAGUUAAGGUUUUCCAAGAUGUUAGAAAAGUUGCUAAUGAUGCUAAAGAACAGUUCUCAAAGCUCAUUGAUGAUGUUGUACCUGAACACCAGGAAAAGUUUCUCUCAUUUGAAAAGUUUGAUCAAAGGCUAGAUACAUUCUUUGCCCAGUUUCUAAAAACAAAAGGUUUCGAGUCUCUAUGGAGUAUUUUUAAGCUCGUAUUCUGCCUGUAUUAAGCUCAAAGAAAUACACGACUGUACUUUAUCUGUUGUCCUGGAAUGCCCUGGAAUUUUUUAUUUUUUUUUUAAUUUUGUCCUGAAAUGUCCUGGGUUUUAAUUUAAAAUGUCCUGGAAAAAAAAGGUAAAAUGUCCUGGAAUGUCCUGGAAUUUGAAAGUUUUUUUGAGUGGUGACCAUAAAGCGUUGGUAUGAUUCGCCAUGAAAAUUGAUGGGUUAAAAAAGUAAAAACAAACAAGUUAAAAUAAAGGAAAAGCUUUUUACUUUUUUAACCCAUCUUUCUUAUUAAGUUUGCCUAAUAAGAUUCUGAUGUACGUUCUUUGAUGUAAACCAUCACAAACUCGUGAAUCUACCAGUCAUCUUAAUGACUUUUCCAAAUUUCUUUUAUAACUCAUUGCUAUCUUAUACAAAGAUUUUGCUUAUGGGAAUCAUAUUCAAAAAGUCUUCUUCUUUGUGCGUGUAAACAUGUGAAACCAUCAUGUGAUUCAGUUUGUUGUCUUUUACUGGUUGUAUUUGUGGCUCACAUCACAAGGAGAUGUUUUGCUAUCUUAUGUUCUGCUAUCUUCAUGAAUUAAGCGUCUGCUGCGUAUGUUAGCAGCUCGAAAAAUUAUUGUUUGAAAAUUUAUUGGAGUGAGUGGGAGGGGAGUUAGGCGCCCCCCUGCCCAUGUCUUUCGGCAUUACUAAUUGCACUCUUUGCAUGUUUGUAAGUUCAACGUGGUACCAUUACGCUUGCUUUUUUUAUUAUUUUUUAGCUGCCAUUAUAAAUUUAUGCUGGAAUAACAAAACUAUUAACUAAGAAGGAGUGAAUACGUUUCUAAUCAUUAUUUUGUCUUUUCACUAUGGUGGCCGAUGAGUGAAAAGCCAAAAAAAUAUCAUAUAGAAAGAACAAAAAAACGUAUUGGCCGAACUGUGCCAAACAAAAAAAAGAAGCAAUAUUGCUACAUUCUAAUUGCAUAAAAAAAAUUUAUUGGACAAACUUUGCUAUAAUGGCAACCUGUAUAGUUCAGCAAACCAAAA